rnacentral:rRNA from 1 species
GAUGAACGCUAGCUACAGGCUUAACACAUGCAAGUCGAGGGGAAACGAUGAGAGAGCUUGCUCUCUUAGGCGUCGACCGGCGCACGGGUGAGUAACGCGUAUCCAACCUACCCAUUACAGGGGGAUAACCUUGCGAAAGUAAGACUAAUACCCCAUGGCAUUUUAUGGUGGCAUCAUUAUAGGAUUAAAGCUUUAUUGGUAAUGGAUGGGGAUGCGUCUGAUUAGCUUGUUGGCGGGGUAACGGCCCACCAAGGCAACGAUCAGUAGGGGUUCUGAGAGGAAGGUCCCCCACAUUGGAACUGAGACACGGUCCAAACUCCUACGGGAGGCAGCAGUGAGGAAUAUUGGUCAAUGGGCGAGAGCUUGAACCAGCCAAGUAGCGUGCAGGAGGACGGCCCUAGGGGUUGUAAACUGCUUUUAUAGGGGAAUAAAGUGAGCUACGUGUAGUUUAUUGCAUGUACCCUAUGAAUAAGGACCGGCUAAUUCCGUG